UGGUCCCGAAGAGGUCCUCAGAGAUACUCCACGAUUCCGCCCUAAACUCCCAAGAGAUUGUAUUUUCUGCUGAAUGGAAACCGACGCCUCCUAAGAUGACCUGCAGCCAUGAUGCUUCUUCCUAACGGCUCAGUAGGGCGUAGAGCGCGCGGCCAUCUUCUUACUAUUUUGCUCACUAAAGUUAGAAGUUUUUAUAGUUUUCCGAUAAUUCAUUUAGUUUGCGCAGUGACCGAGGUGCCCUGAAAUUAACAGCCCUUCCUUCCGGAUCCUCCGGUGGGAGUCUCCGAGAUGGGCGUGGCCAUCAUACGCCACAAUACGAGGCCGAGGGAGGAGCUUGGAUGUGUGGGAAUGUUUGGUUUCCCCGCCCGACGCCGACGGCCCUCAAAGGCCCUAGCGACGAAGUCGGAGAGAGAUGGAAGUCGUUCUGGGUUCAGGCUCUGCGUUUGGUCCCAGUGUUCGAUGGAGUCGGGAGAGACUCAAGAUCGGGGAAGAAGAGAACAAUACAUCUUUCCGUGAGCAUGGAAAAGAACUACUUCAUAAACAGCUUUGCACAGGCUGGCUCUACUGACCACACUAUUACCACGGUUUUAAAAAACUCCAAGUAGAUGUGCUCAUUGUCACUCGGACAAGAAUAAACCAUUAUGAGUUAAACAAAGAAAACAAAAGGUAAAAGCAGUCAGUGUAUAAACAAGGGAAACAAUCUGAGAAAUGCAUCAUUAGGCAAUUCUGUUGUUCAGCCAUCCCAGAGUGCACUUACUGAAACCUAGACGGUACAGCCUAUCCCAUGCCUAAGCUCUACAGGAUGGUCUAUUGCUCCCAGGCUGUCAACCUAUACAGCAUAUUGCAGUGCUGAAUGUUGCAGGGGAUUACAACACAACAGGUAAGUACUCAUGUAUCUAAACGUAUCUAAAUAUAUUAAUAGAACAGAUACAGCAAAAUAUGGUAUGAAAGAUAAAAAAUGGGGCUGGCCAUGGUGGCUCACACCUGUAAAUCGCAGCACUUUGAGAGGCUGAGGCAGGACUGCUUAAGCCCAGGAGUUUGAGGUUACAAUAAGCUGAACAGCCCCACUGCAGUCCAGCCUGGGCAAUAGAGUGAGGCCCUGUCUCUAAAAAUAAAGAUAAAACACGGUACAUCUGUACAGGGCAUCUAGCAGAAAUGCAGCUUGCAGGCCUGGAAGUUGCUCUGGGUACACUGGUACGUGAAUCUGAAGGCCUUGGAUGUAACUGUACACUACGGUGGACUUAAAAAAUGUGUGUAUACUAGCUGGGCGCGGUGGCUCACGCCUAUAAUCCCAGCACUUUGGGAGGCCGAGGCGGGUGGAUCACGAGGUCAAGAGAUCGAGACCAUCCCGGUCAACAAGGUGAAACCCCGUCUCUACUAAAAAUACAAAAAUUAGCUGGGCAUGGUGGUGUGCACCUGUAGUCCCAGCUACUUGGGAGGCUGAGGCAGGAGAAUUGCUUGAACCCAGGAAGCGCAGGUUGCGGUGAGCCGAGAUUGCGCCAUUGCACUCCAGCCUGGGUAACAACAGUGAAACUCCGUCUCGAAAAAACAACAACAACAACAACAAAAUGUGUGUACACUUAAGCUACAUUAAAUUUUUAAAAAAAUAAAUUGUGUGCUACAAUGUUCCCACUCACUUGGCAAUAUUUUCACCUCUUUUAUAAUCUGACGGGACCACUGUCCCAUAUGUAAUCCAUCAUUGACCAAAACAUGACUGUAUACAGAUGAUACGGUUUGGAUUUGUGUCCCUGCCCAAAUUUCAUGUCAUAUUGGAAGAGGGGCCUGGCGGGAGGUGAUGGAUCAUGAGGCAGAUUUCCCCCUUGCUGUUCUUGGGAUAGGGAACGAGUUCUCACAAGAUCUGAUGGUUGAAAAGUGUGUGGCACUUCUUUCACUCUUUCUCUCCUGCCUUAAUGUGAAAAAGGUCCUUGCUUCCCCUUCCCCUUUCUCCAUAUUUGUAGUUUCCUGAGGCCUCCCAGUCAUGCUUCCUCUUAAGCCUGUGGAACUGUGAGUCAAUCAAACCUCCUUCUAAGUGACACCUCUCGGGAACUGAUCUACUUUCUCCUGAGAGUCAGUACAUAUCCUGUGACCAACGACUCUCUGGAUGUGAUGACAGACACAUUAGACAGAAGGUGACAGCUACUAUAACCCACAGGAUGCUCCAGUCACACAUUAGGUUCCAGCACUAGUCAUUUUGUGUGAAUUCCAUUGUGCUGCUUUUACUCACACACUUCUGAUACCAAAUGUGUGGGCUUUUGCUCACAUCAAGCAAUUCUCCAAUUCUCUAACAUCAAGUAGGUGUCCAACAAUUAGAUUCAUUUCUGACACCAACCCCUGGAAGACCGCAUAGGUUAAGGUUUCAGUCCCACAAGACCAGCCCCACUUCAGACACCAGUCACAAGUGUGAGGUCUCCAGGUUACAAAGACUUCUUUCCCUUGGCUACUAAUGUGGGGAUUUCUGCAGCCCACCUUCAGGUUUAAUAAUCUACUAAGGAAAGCACUGCUUUAUUUACAAUUCAGGAACAGCCAAAUGGAAGAGCUGCCCAGGGCACAGUAUGCUGGAGUAUGGGGAUAAACUUCAUGCUCUCUCUGCAGGCACCAACCUCCCAGAAGCUCGAUGUGUUUACCAACCCCGCUCUCCAGACUCCUCUGUUUAGAGGUUUUAUGUUACACAGGCAUGGGUGAAUAAAUCAUUGGCCACUGGUGACUGAACUCCAUCUCCAACGUCUCUCUGCUCCCUGGAGAUUAGGGGUAGGACUGAAAGUUCCAAGCUUCUAAUCAAGGCUUGGUCUUUCUGGCAACCAGCCUCCACCCUGAAGCUACCUAGGACUCUACCAAGAGUAGUCUCACUAGAAAAACGAGGACAAGGCAUGAUGGCUCACAGCUGUAGACUUAGAACUUUGGGAGGCCAAUGUGGACGAAUUGCUUCAGCUGAGGAGUUUAAGACCAGCCUGUGGAACAUGGUGAAACCCCAUCUCUACAAAAAAAUUAGCUGGGCCCAGUGGCACACACCUGUAGUCCCAGCUAGUUGGGAGGCUGAAGGGAUGAUCGCUUGAGCCCAGGAGGCCAAGGCUGCAGUGAGCCGAGAUUGUACCACUGCACUCCAGCCUCGGUGUCAAAGUGAGACCCUGUCUCAAAAAAAAAGACGCUUAUAAUUCAGGAAAUUCCAAGAGUUUGAGGAGCUCUAUGCCAAGAACUGCAAAGACCAAAUAUCUUUCUAUGAUGCCACAUGUGAACAAUAUAGUCCUGAUCCUGCUUCGCCUAGAUGUUGAAAUCAGAAUCUAAAUUUACCAAUGCACAAAUUCCGGUUUACCAAUUUAUACUUCUUCACUUCAUUCAAUUGACUUUUAAAGUUGUCCAGAAAUCAUCUGAUGAAGAAAAGAAUAAAACAAACCAAAAGUCACCUGGGA